rnacentral:rRNA from 1 species
AUUGAACGCUGGCGGCAGGCCUAACACAUGCAAGUCGAGCGGAUGAGGAAAGCUCGCUUUUCGAUUCAGCGGCGGACGGGUGAGUAAUGCCUAGGAAUCUGCCUGUUAGUGGGGGAUAACUCGGGGAAACUCGGGCUAAUACCGCAUACGUCCUACGGGAGAAAGUGGGGGAUCUUCGGACCUCACGCUAACAGAUGAGCCUAGGUUGGAUUAGCUAGUAGGUGAGGUAAUGGCUCACCUAGGCGACGAUCCGUAACUGGUCUGAGAGGAUGAUCAGUCACACUGGAACUGAGACACGGUCCAGACUCCUACGGGAGGCAGCAGUGGGGAAUAUUGGACAAGGGGCGAAAGCCUGAUUCAGCCAUGCCGCGUGUGUGAAGAAGGUCUUCGGAUUGUAAAGCACUUUAAGUUGGGAGGAAGGGUAUUCACCUAAUACGUGGGUACUUUGACGUUACCAACAGAAUAAGCACCGGCUAACUCUGUGCCAGCCGCCGCGGUAACAC